AUGGCCAUGGAGUUCGCCACGGGAGCGAUGAGUGCCCUCCUCCCCAAGCUGGGCGAGCUGCUCCGGGAGGAGUAUCACCUCAAGAAGCGUGUGAAGCAGGGGAUCAAGGACCUCAAGGCCGAGCUCGAAAGCAUGCGAACUGCCCUCGUCAAGGUGUCCAACGUCCCCUUGGACCAGCUUGAUCCGCUGGUCAAGCUUUGGGCCAAUGAGGUCAGAGAGCUAUCUUAUGUCAUCGAGGACAGCCUCGACUCCUUCAUGGUGUUCUUCCAAGGACUUGAGCCAACCAAGCCCCACACCACCUUUGUGGCUUUCAUCAACAAUAUGCGCAACAAGAUCACUGAGUUCAAGAUGCGCCACAAAAUAGCCAAUGACAUCAAAGACAUCGAGAGCCAGGUCACGAAGGUGAAGGAAAGGUAUGAUCGGUACAAGGUCCACGGUGUUGCUGCUAAUCUUGCCACAACCAUGGUUGACCCUCGUCUAUCAGUCAUGUAUAACAAGGUGUCUAACCUUGUUGGCAUUGACAAGCCAAUUGAUGAGAUAAUGAAGAGCUUGUCCGAGGGCUGUCAUAUGGCCGAGAGAUCAAAGCUCAAGACCGUCUCCAUUGUUGGAUUUGGAGGGUUGGGCAAGACAACUCUUGCCAAAGCGGAAUAUGACAAGCUUAACAAGAAAUUCGACUGCGUUGCUUUCGUCCCAGUGGGUCAGAAUCCUGACAUGAAAAAAGUUCUUGGGGACAUCAUUCAUGAACUUGGCCUGCAAAUGUGUAAUGUUGCAUCGGUGAUGGAUGUAAGGCAGCUCAUCAAUCAUCUGCGCAAAUUCCUUUUGAAUAAGAGGUACUUGAUUGUUAUCGAUGAUAUAUGGGAUGUACAAACAUGGGAUUUGAUUAAAUAUGCUUUUCCGCACAAUAAUCUUGGAAGCAGAAUAAUGGCAACUACUUGUAUUUGUGAAGUUGCCAAAAAAGUUGGUGGUAUUUACAACAUGAAACCGCUCAGUGAUGAUAACUCCAAAAAAUUAUUCUCCACCAGAAUAUUCGGUGAGGAAGGUACCAGUCUUGAUAACCAAUUUGUUGAAGUAUCUGAUAAAAUUUUAAGGAAAUGUGGUGGUGUGCCAUUAUCCAUCAUUACAAUAGCCAGCUUGCUUGCUAGUAAACAGAGGGAGGAUUGGCCUAUGGUUUAUGAUUCUAUUGGUUUUGGGCAUGAAGACAAUGAAGUUGUUCAGAACACUAGAAAGAUAUUGUCCUUUAGCUAUUACUAG
rnacentral:rRNA from 1 species